GACGAACGCUGGCGGCGUGCUUAACACAUGCAAGUCGAACGGAAAGGCCCUGCUUUUGUGGGGUGCUCGAGUGGCGAACGGGUGAGUAACACGUGAGUAACCUGCCCUUGACUUUGGGAUAACUUCAGGAAACUGGGGCUAAUACCGGAUAGGAGCUCCUGCUGCAUGGUGGGGGUUGGAAAGCUUCGGCGGCUGGGGAUGGACUCGCGGCUUAUCAGCUUGUUGGUGGGGUAGUGGCUUACCAAGGCUUUGACGGGUAGCCGGCCUGAGAGGGUGACCGGCCACAUUGGGACUGAGAUACGGCCCAGACUCCUACGGGAGGCAGCAGUGGGGAAUAUUGCACAAUGGGCGGAAGCCUGAUGCAGCAACGCCGCGUGCGGGAUGACGGCCUUCGGGUUGUAAACCGCUUUCGCCUGUGACGAAGCGUGAGUGACGGUAAUGGGUAAAGAAGCACCGGCUAACUACGCG
rnacentral:rRNA from 1 species